GAACUACUCCCUCCGUCCCAAAAUUCUUGUCUUAAAUUUUUCUAAAUACGGAUGUAUCUAGUUACGUUUUAGUAUUAGAUACAUCCGUAUCUAGAUAAAUCUAAGACAAGAAUUUUGGGACGGAGGGAGUACUAU
rnacentral:pre_miRNA from 1 species